rnacentral:lncRNA from 1 species
AUUCCUACGGACUUCCUGGACUGCCUUCCCUGGCCUGUGGAAGGGUAACCCUCCCCAAAAAACCUGUUGUCCUCCUUUUGUGAGUGGAUAACCCUUCCUCACUACCCACCCACUUUUAAUUGGAUAUGGUUAGGCAGAGGGAGGAAUAACUAAAUACCUACGGGAGAAAAGAUGAGAAAGAAGAAAGAACUAAAUGCUGCAUUAGGAGGGGGAAUCAAAGAUAUCUGAGAUGUUGACAAGUAUGCCUGAGUCUGAGAUAGUGAAAGUGCAAGUCAUCGAACAAAAAGCUGUGUGGAAAGCAGCAGAGAAAAUGCAUUUGAAGAAAAGGGAAACUACUUAAAGCAUGUCUUUUCAAGAGACUAAAUUCCCUGGUCAAAACUGCAAUAAGCAAGACAAAACACAACAUUCCUCACUGGGGAAGAAGUGCAGGAAAUAUAAGAAUAGAAGACAGCAGGCGAGUAUCUGUUCAAGAGACAGCAUAUGUAAAGAUCUCUUCACAAGUGUUCCAGAAAUAUUCCACAGGAAAAUGACUGAAAUUCUUUAAACCCUGGAGUAAAUGGAAGGCACUAGAACUGAACAGAAAUCAAAAGAAUAUCCCACUGUUAAAUCAAUGUCUAAGAUAACAGAAGUUUCUGGAUAAAACUUAUACAGAGAAAAAUGUACAUUAUGACAAACCUCAACAUACCUCUUAGGCCAUGAAAAGGGUUAUAACAGAUCUAUAAAUGCUACAGGUAAAAUGGCACCAUAGAAAAUGUAACUGUUCUUUGUAUGAUACAAUUUUAGAGUAAAUUUUUAAAGUCCUAUUCUUACAAAGCCAACCUUGUCACAAGGAACUUAAAAUAAAGCCUUUCUGAUGUUUAGUCA